AGUGAACGCUGGCGGUAGGCCUAACACAUGCAAGUCGAGCGGCAGCACAGUAAGAGCUUGCUCUUACGGGUGGCGAGUGGCGGACGGGUGAGGAAUACAUCGGAAUCUACUUUUUCGUGGGGGAUAACGUAGGGAAACUUGCGCUAAUACCGCAUACGACCUACGGGUGAAAGCAGGGGAUCUUCGGACCUUGCGCGAUUGAAUGAGCCGAUGUCGGAUUAGCUAGUUGGCGGGGUAAAGGCCCACCAAGGCGACGAUCCGUAGCUGGUCUGAGAGGAUGAUCAGCCACACUGGAACUGAGACACGGUCCAGACUCCUACGGGAGGCAGCAGUGGGGAAUAUUGGACAAUGGGCGCAAGCCUGAUCCAGCCAUACCGCGUGGGUGAAGAAGGCCUUCGGGUUGUAAAGCCCUUUUGUUGGGAAAGAAAAGCAGCAGGUUAAUACCCCGCUGUUCUGACGGUACCCAAAGAAUAAGCACCGGCUAACUUCGUG
rnacentral:rRNA from 1 species